rnacentral:tmRNA from 1 species
GGGGAUGAAAUAGUUUCGACAGUUAUGGGUCGACUAGAAUACGCACGUAGUAGUAGGUGCUACUUAAAAAACCAAAAGUCGUUAAAAUUAAACGCAAACAACAACAAUACAGUAGCCGUUGCCGCUUAGUGCAGGCUCGUCGACCUACUCAAUCCGAAUGGGUAGCCAUCGGCGUCGUAAGUUCGGAGAACGAGUGUGCAGAGAUUGCCAUAUGCACAUUAGACCUUUUUGGGAAUAGUUGCGAAGAAGUCGUUAGCAGACUUUGAGUGACGAAUGUGAUUGCUAACUAAACGUGUAGGGUAUUCAGGGACUUCAUGAUUGGACAUGGGUGCAACUCCCAUCAUCUCCACCA